GACGUAGGGCGCGAGCGUUGUCCGGAUUUAUUGGGCGUAAAGGGCUCGUAGGCGGUUUGUCACGUCGGGAGUGAAAACUCGGGGCUUAACCCCGAGCCUGCUUCCGAUACGGGCUGACUAGAGGUAUGCAGGGGAGAACGGAAUUCCUGGUGUAGCGGUGAAAUGCGCAGAUAUCAGGAGGAACACCGGUGGCGAAGGCGGUUCUCUGGGCAUUACCUGACGCUGAGGAGCGAAAGUGUGGGGAGCGAACAGG
rnacentral:rRNA from 1 species